UACGAAGGGUGCAAGCGUUACUCGGAAUUACUGGGCGUAAAGCGUGCGUAGGUGGUUUGUUAAGUCUGAUGUGAAAGCCCUGGGCUCAACCUGGGAACGGCAUUGGAAACUGGCUUACUAGAGUGCGGUAGAGGGGUGUGGAAUUCCCGGUGUAGCAGUGAAAUGCGUAGAUAUCGGGAGGAACAUCUGUGGCGAAGGCGACACCCUGGACCAGCACUGACACUGAGGCGCGAAAGCGUGGGGAGCAAACAGG
rnacentral:rRNA from 1 species